UGAGUAACCUGCCCUUGACUCUGGGAUAAGCGCUAGAAAUGGCGUCUAAUACCGGAUACGAACUUCAGCCGCAUGGCUAGGAGUUGGAAAGAAUUUUGGUCAAGGAUGGACUCGCGGCCUAUCAGCUAGUUGGUGAGGUAAUGGCUCACCAAGGCGACGACGGGUAGCCGGCCUGAGAGGGUGACCGGCCACACUGGGACUGAGACACGGCCCAGACUCCUACGGGAGGCAGCAGUGGGGAAUAUUGCACAAUGGGCGAAAGCCUGAUGCAGCAACGCCGCGUGAGGGAUGACGGCCUUCGGGUUGUAAACCUCUUUUAGUAGGGAAGAAGCGAAAGUGACGGUACCUGCAGAAAAAGCACCGGCUAACUACGUGCCAGCAGCCGCGGUAAUACGUAGGGUGCAAGCGUUGUCCGGAAUUAUUGGGCGUAAAGAGCUCGUAGGCGGUUUGUCGCGUCUGCUGUGAAAUCUGGGGGCUCAACCCCCAGCCUGCAGUGGGUACGGGCAGACUAGAGUGCGGUAGGGGAGAUUGGAAUUCCUGGUGUAGCGGUGGAAUGCGCAGAUAUCAGGAGGAACACCGAUGGCGAAGGCAGAUCUCUGGGCCGUAACUGACACUGAGGAGCGAAAGCGUGGGGAGCGAACAGGAUUAGAUACCCUGGUAGUCCACGCCGUAAACGUUGGGAACUAGAUGUGGGGGCCAUUCCACGGUCUCCGUGUCGCAGCUAACGCAUUAAGUUCCCCGCCUGGGGAGUACGGCCGCAAGGCUAAAACUCAAAGGAAUUGACGGGGGCCCGCACAAGCGGCGGAGCAUGCGGAUUAAUUCGAUGCAACGCGAAGAACCUUACCAAGGCUUGACAUAUACCGGAAACGUCCAGAGAUGGUCGCCCCGCAAGGUCGGUAUACAGGUGGUGCAUGGUUGUCGUCAGCUCGUGUCGUGAGAUGUUGGGUUAAGUCCCGCAACGAGCGCAACCCUCGUUCUAUGUUGCCAGCACGUUAUGGUGGGAACUCAUAGGAGACUGCCGGGGUCAACUCGGAGGAAGGUGGGGAUGACGUCAAAUCAUCAUGCCCCUUAUGUCUUGGGCUUCACGCAUGCUACAAUGGCCGGUACAAAGGGCUGCGAUACCGUAAGGUGGAGCGAAUCCCAAAAAGCCGGUCUCAGUUCGGAUUGAGGUCUGCAACUCGACCUCAUGAAGUCGGAGUCGCUAGUAAUCGCAGAUCAGCAACGCUGCGGUGAAUACGUUCCCGGGCCUUGUACACACCGCCCGUCAAGUCAUGAAAGUCGGUAACACCCGAA
rnacentral:rRNA from 2 species